rnacentral:lncRNA from 1 species
CUAAAAGGUAUCAUUAUAAUUCAUUGAUACAUAAUGUUCUGUUUAACUGAAAAUGUUCAUUUUAAAAAUUUGUGAUGCAGAGAGCCCAGCUAGUGGACGGAGAGGGUCUCCUCAGUGUGGAGUGGGGCACCCUCCUGCCCAUGCCCCACCCCCAGUGCCCAGCUUAGCCGUGCAGGCACCGGCAGCACCCCCCUUCCCUGCCUCCACUUCUUUCCUCCUGGCUGUGCUGGUACAUGUUUGCACAGUACAGAGGCACAGGGAAUCAUAAAGGCCAUUGUCCUGAGCUCCAGAAGAUACAGCAGAGGUGAACAACAGAAAGAGGGCCACUCUCAGGCUCCUUGAUGAAAAUUGAAGCCCACUGGAAAAAUGAAGAGAAUCUCUGCAAUAAAGGCUCACCAGACCACCGUACUUGACGUAAAGAAGAUUUCAUCAACUACCAUACAUAUAGAUGCAGUGAUGGGGUUAGACUGCAUGAUGAAAGAUCUUCACUCUAAGAUUAAUUUUGGAGUUUGAAAAGAAGGUCUUACAGGUUUAACACAAUUCCUGUCAAAAUCUCAUUAUUACCUUUUUGGAUACAGAAGAUAUAAAGUGAAGAUUUAUAUGUAACUGCAAGCUGGAAUAGCUAAAAUAACUUGGAAAAAAAUAAAAUGAGAGGAAUCUGUGUACACACACACACACACACACACACACACACACACACACGCACUGGUCAGACCUUCCACUGAAUUGUUUGCUGAUGAAUAAUAACACCCCGCAGAGCACACACCGUGUUACACUGAUCAAUAGGGCUGGAGUCCUGGCGUUGCCACUUAAGAGUCAUCUAUCUGAACAUGAAAGAGUCACUCUACACCACUGAGCUGCAGUUCCCUUGUCUAUUAUUUGUCCCGCAUUGAUUUGGGUCCUCAGCUGCCGCCUUGCCAUGUGCUCCUCACGCUUCUCAGAAUCAAGGCUGUAAUUGUCCUUUGAUUUCAUUCUCCCCUGAAGUUUUAUAAAGAAAGAAAGAAGAGAAAGGGGAAAGGAAUGUGAAGAUAGAAGUGAAAGACCAAGAGGAGAAAGAAGUAAAAAAGAAAGAAGAGAAAAAAAUGAAACAUACUAGUAUAAAGAGGACAAUAAAAUCAUAAUGUUUUAUUCUGCACACAC